rnacentral:rRNA from 1 species
UACGUAGGGUGCGAGCGUUAAUCGGAAUUACUGGGCGUAAAGCGUGCGCAGGCGGUUGGUUAAGUCUGAUGUGAAAGCCCCGGGCUCAACCUGGGAAUGGCAUUGGAAACUGGCUGGCUAGAGUGCGGCAGAGGGGGGUGGAAUUCCGCGUGUAGCAGUGAAAUGCGUAGAGAUGCGGAGGAACACCGAUGGCGAAGGCAGCCCCCUGGGCUGACACUGACGCUGAGGCACGAAAGCGUGGGGAGCAAACAGG